rnacentral:rRNA from 1 species
ACACGUAGGAGGCAAGCGUUAUCCGGAUUUACUGGGCGUAAAGCGCGUGCAGGCGGUCUGGUAAGUUGGAUGUGAAAGCUCCCGGCUCAACUGGGAGAGGUCGUUCAAAACUGCCGGACUGGAGGACGGUAGAGGGAGGUGGAAUUCCCGGUGUAGUGGUGAAAUGCGUAGAUAUCAGGAGGAACACCAGUGGCGAAGGCGGCCUCCUGGGCCGUUCCUGACGCUAAGACGCGAAAGCGUGGGGAGCGAACGGGAUUAGAAACCCGAGUAGUCC